AAGAAGAUACCAUACUGCAUAAACCAUCAGCAAACCCUCCGAAAAAACCACCACCCCAAGGUCCUCCAAAUCCAGGACCCGGACCCCAUGGCCCUCCAGGACCCGGACCCCCCCAGCCAGGACCGCCAGGACCGCCAGGACCAGGUCCCCAGCCUGGGCCUCCCGGACCGCCUGGUCCAGGUCCUCCAGGACCUCCUGGUCCAGGGCCUCCAGGACCUCCUGGUCCGCCAAACAUUGGUACCUUCUUACCUUGUUACUCUACUGUAUUGAAUUAUCUCAGCCACACUCUAACACAAGGAGUUCUUCUUGAGCUUGGAAAUGCAAAAUUUGGAAAAUAAGAUCCAACGAGAAGACAAUCACCC
rnacentral:lncRNA from 1 species